CCUCCGGGUGGCAGCAGUGAGGAAUAUUGGUCAAUGGCCGGAAGGCUGAACCAGCCAAGCCGCGUGAGGGAGGAAGGCGCAGAGCGUCGCAGACCUCUUUUGCCGGGGGACAAAAGGCCGGACUCGUCCGGUCCUGAGGGUACCCGGAGAAAAAGCAUCGGCUAACUCCGUGCCAGCAGCCGCGGUAAUACGUGGGGAGCAAGCGUUGUCCGGCAUUACUGGGUGUAAAGGGAGCGUAGGCGGGAUAGUAAGUUGAUUGUUAAAACUAUCGGCUCAACUGGUAGAUGCGAUCAAAACUGCAAUUCUUGAGUGAAGUAGAGGCAGGCGGAAUUCCUAGUGUAGCGGUGAAAUGCGUAGAUAUUAGGAGGAACACCAGUGGCGAAGGCGGCCUGCUGGGCUUUAACUGACGCUGAGGCUCGAAAGUGUGGGUAGCAAACAGGAUUAGAUACCCCUGUAGUC
rnacentral:rRNA from 1 species